rnacentral:rRNA from 1 species
CCCUUAGAUGUUCUGGGCCGCACGCGUGCUACACUGAGUAAUUCAAUGGGUAAGGGAACGCUAGAGCAUUACCUAAUCUUGAAAUUUGCUCGUGAUGGGGAUCGACGGUUGCAAUUUUCCGUCGUGAACGAGGAAUACCUUGUAGGCGCAUGUCAUCAUCAUGCGCCGAAUACGUCCCUGCCCUUUGUACACACCGCCUGUCGCUCCUACCGAUUGAGUGAUCCGGUGAGGCUCUGGGACCUGGACGGAAAGAGCGUUUCGCUUGUUCUGUUUGGGAAACUUGGUCGAACCUUAUCAUUUAGAGGAAGGAGAAGUCGUAACA